rnacentral:rRNA from 1 species
GAUGAACGCUGGCGGCGUGCCUAAUACAUGCAAGUCGAGCGAACAGACGAGGAGCUUGCUCCUCUGACGUUAGCGGCGGACGGGUGAGUAACACGUGGAUAACCUACCUAUAAGACUGGGAUAACUUCGGGAAACCGGAGCUAAUACCGGAUAAUAUAUUGAACCGCAUGGUUCAAUAGUGAAAGACGGUUUUGCUGUCACUUAUAGAUGGAUCCGCGCCGCAUUAGCUAGUUGGUAAGGUAACGGCUUACCAAGGCAACGAUGCGUAGCCGACCUGAGAGGGUGAUCGGCCACGCUGGAACUGAGACACGGUCCAGACUCCUACGGGAGGCAGCAGUAGGGAAUCUUCCGCAAUGGGCGAAAGCCUGACGGAGCAACGCCGCGUGAGUGAUGAAGGUCUUCGGAUCGUAAAACUCGGUUAUUAGGGAAGAACAAAUGUGUAAGUAACUAUGCACGUCUUGACGGUACCUAAUCAGAAAGCCACGGCUAACUACGUG